rnacentral:misc_RNA from 1 species
AACAAUGGCUUCUCAUCAUCAGAUUGUGAGGAGAGCAUUGUUUCAUCUCCAGUUGUUGACCCAAUUCCACAACAACCUCAAUUGCCACCAGCAGUAGCUCCUCAAGCAACAAUAGAGGUGGUGCCUCAAAAGCCUUUACCUGAAAAGGGAAAGCUUUUGCAGGCAGUGAUGAAAGCUGGUCCUCUCUUGCAGACUCUUCUUCUAGCUGG